AGUAAGUAAAAGAUGUAACUGGAAAUAUAAUACAAUGUGGAUUGUAUUACAUCAUGUAUUAACCACAAAUCAUGAAAUCAAUACCAGAGAACCAAAUAAUGUCACCACCUCUGUACUAACAACCAACAUUUUAGCAUAAGGAGUAUCACAGGAGUGUUUAAUUGCACAUCAAGAGUAUCACAAUUACAACUAAAGAGGCAUUGUCCUCACUGCUGUCCCUGAGCCCUUCACAGAGUUUCAAGCCUCGCAACUUCUUCCUCCAGCUCUGCACAUGACCCUCGGUUACGAACCUCAUCCCUCAACUAUGAUUAUUUCAAGAUGAAAUCAACAUGCUAUUUCUCUCACAUGGAACAUGUUUAGAAUUUAGUCAGUCUCGCUAAUCUUUCAGCUACAAAGGCAGAAAGAAAAAUGGCAUAAUCAAUAACUAAAAAAAAACUGGAACAAUAAUGCUUGUAACAAUAAUGGCUAUAUUUUUAUCAUCAAAUUUCAACAAUAGAUAUCUCUCCUCCUAUAUCCCUCAAAGAGCAAAAAUAACAAAAUGAACUUUGAUGUACACAAACACAUUCAAAUAAGCAAAUCAGAGCAAGGCAAUAUGCAUCAUACCUUCAGGAUGCCAAGCGGUCGAUUAGUAAUGCUAAAAUGAACCCAUCAGCAUACCUCCCACCUAAUUUUAUUGGCCCUAUCUCUUCUUUCUCAAGUCUGCACUCGUUCAACCAGUAAUCCAAUUAGUUAUACAUGCACACAAUAAUCAAUAGUUUCCCUUCUCCCUAUUUCUAAUUUGGAAAAAUCACUAUAUUUUUCCCCUAUUUGUAGUUUACACUGAAAUCUGAAACCAGUGUGUGCAAGUAUGUUUAAACACCCAGCCAAAAAUCUGAGAAAAGCAAAAUAAGAAUUUGAAUGCCCAAGGAAAAUUAAACUUGCUCUCUCUCCCUAUUCUCAGCCAUACAUGCACCAGACAACAUAUAUAUAUAUAUAUAUAUAUAUAUAUAUAGAGAGAGAGAGAGAGAGAGAGCGAGAGACGAUCAAAUAAUUUUAUAGGUCCUCCUUGACUUGGCCGCUUCAAGCUGUGCUAGAAUCCAUGGGAUGGCAGAACACCUUUUUUAGUACAAGCACACUGCAAGCCACCAUCCACCCUUGCUUAUUAAUGAAAUAAAAUAAAGUAUUCCAAGAACAUGGAUCAGUUAUAAAAAGUACCGAUAUCAUGUAUGCAUCGUUCUGAUGCAGAGGCCGGGGAUCUCCCCCUUUUCGAAAAAAAAGUAUAUAAUACAAAAAUAAAUAUUCUUUGGAAGGAUAUAGUCAUAGAUAUAUCAAAUAGACAUAGUAUACGUUCCAAUGAUAAUGUCAUACCUGUAGAAGAGACAUAUCCUCAAGAAACGGUGCUCCAAAUGAAUAUUGCCAUAUUUGUCCAUAGUAAAUAAUCCAUUACAGCAGAAAUCAGAAGCCAACAUCAGUGUGGUUCGCAAUAAGAGGAGGCCAUUCUGUUCAUGCCUAGCAGUAGCACAACAGCGACAUGAAGACAACCUACUUUACAUGGCAAAAGAUCCAAGUAAGAAGAAAAUCUAAUGUCAUAUAUGGAUACACUUGAGUUGUUAUAAAUACUUAGGAAUUCAGGAUGGCAAAUUUAAGCAAGAAAAACACACUGGAGCUGUUAUAUUUACUUAGGAAUUCAGAUUAUUGUGUUUCCUAUAGAGGCCCUAUAACCUGAAUAAACGUAG
rnacentral:lncRNA from 1 species